AGAAAAGAACGAAAAAACCCUUUUUAGUUUUUUUUUCUCUGCUCAGGACGAACGCUGGCGGCGUGCCUAAUACAUGCAAGUCGAGCGGACAGAUGGGAGCUUGCUCCCUGAUGUUAGCGGCGGACGGGUGAGUAACACGUGGGUAACCUGCCUGUAAGACUGGGAUAACUCCGGGAAACCGGGGCUAAUACCGGAUGCUUGUUUGAACCGCAUGGUUCAAACAUAAAAGGUGGCUUCGGCUACCACUUACAGAUGGACCCGCGGCGCAUUAGCUAGUUGGUGAGGUAAUGGCUCACCAAGGCAACGAUGCGUAGCCGACCUGAGAGGGUGAUCGGCCACACUGGGACUGAGACACGGCCCAGACUCCUACGGGAGGCAGCAGUAGGGAAUCUUCCGCAAUGGACGAAAGUCUGACGGAGCAACGCCGCGUGAGUGAUGAAGGUUUUCGGAUCGUAAAGCUCUGUUGUUAGGGAAGAACAAGUACCGUUCGAAUAGGGCGGUACCUUGACGGUACCUAACCAGAAAGCCACGGCUAACUACGUGCCAGCAGCCGCGGUAAUACGUAGGUGGCAAGCGUUGUCCGGAAUUAUUGGGCGUAAAGGGCUCGCAGGCGGUUUCUUAAGUCUGAUGUGAAAGCCCCCGGCUCAACCGGGGAGGGUCAUUGGAAACUGGGGAACUUGAGUGCAGAAGAGGAGAGUGGAAUUCCACGUGUAGCGGUGAAAUGCGUAGAGAUGUGGAGGAACACCAGUGGCGAAGGCGACUCUCUGGUCUGUAACUGACGCUGAGGAGCGAAAGCGUGGGGAGCGAACAGGAUUAGAUACCCUGGUAGUCCACGCCGUAAACGAUGAGUGCUAAGUGUUAGGGGGUUUCCGCCCCUUAGUGCUGCAGCUAACGCAUUAAGCACUCCGCCUGGAGACUAGGU
rnacentral:rRNA from 2 species